CCGAACCGCCCCGAAGCUCUACCAAUUUUCUGCGCGAGCGCGAGUCCAUAGCGCCGCCACCAACUGGCAACUGCUAUUCGAUUUCGAUCAUCUUCAUCUGCCGCCUAGAGGCUCCGUGUGAUCCGUCGAAAUCGCGUUUCGGCACCAGCGAUUCAGCGACGCGCUGCAGCGGCCGGCUUGCCGGCGAUGACCGGUAGGUGCUAACUAAUCUCAACCGCUGGAGCAGGGUACCGAGUCGAGUCGACGGCCUGGGCAUGCACGUCUCCCGUUCGGCGAAACGCCCCAGAGAAAACUCCUCGGGCAGCGGCAGAGGCUCGCCGCCGGGGUGCCGGAUCGCGCGCGCGAACCGGGGCGCUGAACGGCGGAGGCCUCGUAGUAGUCCGACCGAAUCAGAGUCUAAGCUACGGCUGUUAUACUGGGCAAGGUAAACAAGAGAACUGGUGGGGGUCAGAGGAUCUACUUCACUGGACACAAUUUGAGUAUUUGAGUGCAUGAAGCUAUGAACAAAACUGAAGCUAAGUUACACAUGAAAUUUGAAGAUCGCAACUUCUAAUACAUUGCACAGAAGCAUGCAGAGUGCUUACAUUUGGUGGAAUGGUCUUCUCAAGUGGCUUCUUUGAUGGCAACGAUGGUUCAGUGAGUGAAGGCAGCCGAAAUUCAUGCAUCAUCCAGUCAGUUUUGACCCCUUUGGCUGCUCUACCUUUGUAGAAGACAAGAGACUUCUUCAGGCCGAUGCACUUGCUCCCAUCAGAAGAGUAAAUUGGCCUAUCAGUUCCAGUGGCUUUCCAGAACCCUGCUCCAGUUACCCUGUUCGGCCUUGUGCUGUUCCGGUACUUCCUAUCCCUUGGACAGUAGAAAUACCAUUCCUUCUCUCCAGUACUCGCUAGUUCUUCAUGAAAAAGGGAAGAAGAUUCAGUAAGUAAUUGUAUUUAGAUUCAUGCUGCCUUUUCAUAAUACUAUUUAGAACCAAAGAUCCAGUUAAAAUUAGUUUUCAUCAUUGAAGCCUGGAAGUUCACACUAGCGUUCGUGCUUUUCGAAUAUAAGCUAUGUAGUGCUUGCAUGUUCUUUAAAUUAGGACUCUAGGAUAGCCUAAUCCUAAUCAGUUAUGCAGCACUGCAACAUACAACAGAAAGCAUGAGCUCAGCAAGAACUUACAGGAUCAUGUAAGCUCAGAGAUGGAAUCAUGUGAUCGCAUAAAGCUUAAACAUGCAGGCUAGACGUAGUAAAUACAUCAGGGCAGUAAGUUGUUAUUAUGUUGGGUCUGUGCAAACCUUACUAUUCGUGUUAAUGACACUUAGUUUAAUCCUAGGACCAGUUUUACCCCAUAUACAUGAACAUCGUACAGUGCCCAGGUAUUGCAAGUAGGCAAAACCUCAACGAUACAGACAAAGCAACAAUUGCAUGUAGAAGUUUCUGAAGAUUUACUAAGAUGCAUAGUAUCAACAAGAGCGCAAGAUAAAAUCAUGCAUGAUCCACGCUUCUUGUACAAAAAAAAGCAUCAUGUAGCAAAAUAGUCUAAUCUUAAUUCUUAAAACAAACAGGUUUCUUAGUUCUUUAAUGAUUUGAGCAGAGAAACAGAUCACAGUUAGCAAGGGGAAGAGAUGCAUCGAUGCUUACUUGGGAGAUCCCAUGGAUCAUACUUGUAGAUAUCCAGCUGCCUGAUGAGCUCGAUCGGGAGAGACUUCUGCUGGAUUUUUCUUUUAAGGUAGAACCUGACGAGCUCUUCAUCUGUUGGAUGAAAUCUAAAGCCAGGUAGCAUAACUUCAUCUUGCUUCUCCAUGUCAUCACUUCUGAUCUCAUCCAUAUGUUUACCACAGUAAAACAAAUCUCUGUCCGGAUGCUGUGCCUCAGGUGGUGCUCAGUGCUCACCCCUAGCUACAACUUACAAGAAGUUACCAGCUACAAACUCUAGUAUUGUUAAACUUCACUCGAUAGGCAGUAGCUAAAAGGUUUUGGUUUCUACUGAUUACUGGAGGUAAACAGAACCCUUUCUUCCACUUAAUGUAAGGCCACCAUAUAACACUGAUUUCUUGAGACCUAACGAGGUGGUUUUCUAAGCGCUGCGUAUGCUCUUGUCUAGAAGGAGCUAAAUUUGGAGCAAAGCUAGCACAAAAGCUCUAAGAGAACUAUGGCAUGCAGAUACUCACAGAGAAGAGAGGCCAGACUUGCAGUCUUAACUCUUGGUUUCUCACUCUGUAGAGUUUGCGUUCCUACUAGUUGGCUAAUCUUUUGCACCCUUGCGUGCCCUAAAGAACUGUUACUUAUAGCAGAACUUUCGAAACCCUACCUAAGUGACUCACGUAAGGUCUUAUUAGACUUGACUCCACCUCCAUGAUGAGCAUCUCAAUGAGAUGUUCGAGUUCUGCGGUAAGAUUGGGAUUAGCAAUAUUUGGAUUUAAUACUCGCUUAAUUAAUAAAUUAAUUGAAUGCCAAGUACUUGGCAUCUAAUUUAUGUCUUGUUGCCUAUAAUUAAGCCUGCUUUGAGAAUAAUCUAGCUCUCUAGAUGGCUAUCUUACUAAUUUUAAAUUGUGUUCCCUGGAAUUUUCUAUCUGUGAACUAUAAGAACAACUCCCAAGGCAUUAAGAGACUUGCAAAUUCCUAUUACAUACAAUACUAUUUUGGGACAGUAAGAGUCUAAUUCCCUCUGAUAAUAUAUAUGUAUUCACAUUGGUAUGUGCAUAUGUACCUUUCAUUCUCUCAUGAUCCCAAAAUCCUUUUUGGUCCAACCCUUUCCCCUUCAUUCAUAUCUUUUUUCUCUCACCUUUAUAAUUUAAAACUGAAGGAGAGGUUUCUGAACACAAAGCAAGAAGGGUUUGAAUAAAGUUUCCAUGAAAAAUGUACACGUUGCUUCCUCAGUUUUGAGUAUCAUAUAGUGGAUCUAUAAAUACUCUGGCACGAGAAUGUGGCAUAUUCUGUUAUUUUCCAAAGAAGGAAAAUCUGUUUUUCCUUUUUAUUUAAAUUGUAGAAUCAGAUGGGAAAUACAAAUCACACAUGAAACCAAUUGUAGAAAAGCUUAUGCAUGCCUCUCAAUUAUGAAUCACAGGAAAUGAAGUGCCAAACUGGCAUUCUGCUCUUCUUGCCAUCUAAUCAAACGGAAGUUAGCUAAGGUGAGGGAAAUGCGCGUUUCACAUCCCUGGGUUAGAGCUAAAAUCCAGAGUCAUGUCUUGCAAAACUUGUUUAUCAUUCAUUGAUGGAACGAAGCCCUUGUCUCUGGCUUUUGUAAGCUUGUGAUUAGUCAAACUCUUGUGAAAUCUAACCUCAAUCCCCGAUUAUUAUUUACUAUGUAGACAGUGACAUAUUCUCUGCUGAUAAGGUAUUACAGCGCCAAAGGGGGUUUGUCAACAACUUAAGAUGAUGCUCAUCCCUAGAUUAUCAAUUUAUAUAUCCUUGCUGUCAAAUGUGCCGGCAACCAGUGGUUGUAAACAUGACCUAUUAACUACCUGUGUCGUUUAGAGAUGUUCUUUUGCAUCCAUUUGGCUGUGGCUACUCUGAAAUUUCUGGAUUUGCCUGCCCUUGAUGAACCACCAACCUUUCUGAACGGGGAUUCACACCUUUUUUGGCAACCUUUAUAUGUUUUGGUUUAACAAUUUUUUUACAAUGGUUGGAGGGAAAAUGGAUGGCUCACGAGGCUCAAUCCGACGGUUCAGAAUUGAUAAGCUUUUGUUCUUGUGAAGAAACCAUUCUGUCAUGGGAUUAAUUUCACAGCUUGAUGUGUGCAGUGCACCAUGGUGCCAGCCUGCCAAGGAUGACAUGAAACGGGCUGGCUGGGUUACCAAGAAAUGUGUGAGCAAAUCCAAGUGGCGUACUUUGCAUCUGCUAGUUCAUCUCUUGACAUCAAUGCUCAUACAUACCGGUGUCUGAAACCUGAUUACCUGAGACUGGAAUGGGGAUGCCAGUUGGCGACUCUGACGGGUGGGCCAACUGCAGCUGCCGUUUCUCCCUCACCUCGAAAGCCUGCAGAUCAGAAUGCCGGCAGCACUUCAGGCUUCCACAAGCGUUCGAUUCUAUGCUGAAUGUUGUCAGUUAGGACCUUAGUUCACUCUUCAGAGCACUUACUGAAAAGCUACAGAGAGUGGAAGGAAGUUUCAGGACAGAUUGACUCUGCUGGAUCAUGGAUCUCUUGGCCUCUGGGACUUUCCAGCUUCAAGGUACUCGUGAAACUCAACUAGUGCAUCGAAUUUUGUCGCUUGUUUCUGCGGCUCCUUUACUGCACUCCAACACUUAGCCAGAAUUAGUACAUCUGCGAACGAAGUCACGCUACGCUCUCCGAUUCCCAAACUGGGGAAACCCAAAGAGAGGUCGAUGAGUAGCCCGCACUCCACACUUGUUACCAAGAACAGCGCCAUGGAAACACGGAGGCCGGGAACCGAUUCGCGUCGGCUUGGAACGAGGGGAGCGAGGAAAAAGAAUGCCGAACACAGAACGGCACAAAGAUAGCGUGCGUGUCUCACUGUGUUUUUACCAUGCAUGUACGAUGCACUGGGAACGCUGACUGGGGCUUCAUGCGUUGCUUGAGUACAAAGCAAGUGCUCCUGAUUCAAAGAAAGGUCGCGUUCCUACUAUAAGCCACCCAUGUAUGUGCGUGACUUUUGCUGUACUUCUUGGUGAUGUACGUUUUUGCAAGAUUUCAUGCAGUCAAACUUCCAAAUCACUCGACUCCUCAUGGUCAGACCACGCCAAACGGAGUCCAGGCCUUCUGGCCUUGGAGACUGCUUGCAAUCAGUGCUAUUUAGUAGUAUUACUAUCGCGUGGGGUUAAGCAUGGUUGAAGCAAAUUCAAAAUAUUUGUCCUAGCGAAAAUGUAAAAAAGAGGUACUGUUCAUUCAGUGUUGUUGCCGUACAAUAACAAAGGUUUCUUGGUGGAAACAUCACCGUUCAAA